UACGUAGGGUCCGAGCGUUGUCCGGAAUUACUGGGCGUAAAGCGCGCGCAGGCGGCCUUUUAAGUCUCGUGGUGAAAUGCCGGGGCUCAACCCCGUGCCCGCCGGAGAUACUGGGAGGCUGGAGACGAGUAGAGGCAAGCGGAAUUCCGGGUGUAGCGGUGGAAUGCGUAGAGAUCCGGAAGAACACCGGAGGCGAAGGCGGCUUGCUGGGCUCAUGUCUGACGCUGAGGCGCGAAAGCGUGGGGAGCGAACGAGGA
rnacentral:rRNA from 1 species